rnacentral:lncRNA from 1 species
UGCUUUUCUUUAAGAUAAGAAACAAUACUGUGCUGCCGUAUUCAUUGGCCAAGGCUUUCGACUCUGUCAAUCACCACAUCCUCAUCGGCAGACUCGACAGCCUUGGUUUCUCAAAUGACUGCCUCGCCUGGUUCACCAACUACUUCUCUGACAGAGUUCAGUGUGUCAAAUCGGAGGGCCUGUUGUCCGGACCUCUGGCAGUCUCUAUGGGGGUGCCACAGGGUUCAAUUCUCGGGCCAACUCUUUUCUCUGUAUACAUCAAUGAUGUCGCUCUUGCUGCUGGGGAGUCUCUGAUCCACCUCUACGCAGACGACACCAUUCUGUAUACUUCUGGCCCUUCUUUGGACACUUAACCCUCCAGACGAGCUUCAAUACCAUAUAACUCUCCUUCCGUGGCCUCCAACUGCUCUUAAAUACAAGUAAAACUAAAUGCAUGCUCUUCAACCGAUACCUGCCCGCCCGUCCAGCAUCACUACUCUGGACGGUUCUGACUUAGAAUAUGUGGACAACUACAAAUACCUGGGUGUCUGGUUAGACUGUAAACUCUCCUUCCAGACUCACAUCAAACAUCUCCAAUCCAAAAUUAAAUCUAGAAUCGGCUUCCUAUUUCGCAACAAAGCAUCCUUCACUCAUGCUGCCAAACAUACCCUCGUAAAACUGACUAUCCUACCGAUCCUCGACUUCGGCGAUGUCAUUUACAAAAUAGCCUCCAACACUCUACUUAAUAAACUGGAUGCAGUCUAUCACAGUGCCAUCCGUUUUGUCACCAAAGCCCCAUAUACUACCCACCACUGUGACCUGUACGCUCUCGUUGGCUGGCCUUCGCUUCAUACUCGUCGCCAAACCCACUGGCUCCAGGUCAUCUACAAGACCCUGCUAGGUAAAGUCCGGCCUUAUCUCCGCUCACUGGUCACCAUAGCAGCACCCACCUGUAGCACGCGCUCCAGCAGGUAUAUCUCUCUGGUCACCCCCAAAGCCUAUUCCUCCUUUGGCUGCCUCUCCUUCCAGUUCUCUGCUGACAAUGACUGGAACGAACUACAAAAAUCUCUGAAACUGGAAACACUUAUCUCCCUCACUAGCUUUAAGCACCAGCUGUCAGAGCCGCUCCCAGAUCACUGCACCUGUACAUAGCCCAUCUAUAAUUUAGCCCAAACUACUACCUCUUCCCCUACUGUAUUUAUUUAUUUUGCUCCUUUGCACCCCAUUAUUUCUAUUUCUACUUUGCACUUUCUUCCACUACAAAUCUACCAUUCCAGUGUUUUACUUGCUAUAUUGUAUUUACUUACCACCAUGGCCUUUUUUUGCCUUUACCUCCCUUAUCUCACCUCAUUUGCUCACAUUGUAUAUAGACUUAUUUUUCUGUGUUGUUGACUGUAUGUUUGUUUUACUCCAUGUGUAACUCUGUGUUGUUGUAUGUUGUCGAACUGCUUUGCUUUAUCUUGGCCAGGUCGCAGUUGUAAAUGAGAACUUGUUCUCAACUGGCCUACCUGGUUAAAUAAAGGACUUGUUCUCAACUGGCCUACCUGGUUAAAUAAAGGACUUGUUCUCAACUAGCCUACCUGGUUAAAUAAAUAAAAAGUGUCAUCAGAGUAGGAGCUCUGACCUAGGAACAGAUCCCACCCGUCCAUCUAAAACUGAGACGAUAAAUACAGCCCCCUGGAUGGGAUUCCUUCUUCUACGCGUCAGAUGUUCUACAACGAUAGAUGCAUGUCUGGAUGAACGGCCGUGUUUGAGAGCAUCAAAACUGAUGUAUCAUGGGUAAAUUGUGACCGACUGAUGUACAAAUAACAUCGAGCAGUUAUGUGCAAGGUGAUCAGUCAGUUGACUCAACUUUAAAAAGGAAAAAAAAAAAGUUGGCCGCCAUGUUGAACGAACCCAACACAGUAUGGACCCAACAGAUCCAUCAGAACAGGGUUUCCUGACCCUCUACUCAGGGACCAGAACCCAACGUUCAUCUACACAGUAUGGACCCAACAGAUCCAUCAGAACAGGGUUUCCUGACCCUCUACUCAGGGACCAGAACCCAACGUUCAUCUACACAGUAUGGACCCAACAGAUCCAUCAGAACAGGGUUUCCUGACCCUCUACUCAGGGACCAGAACCCAACGUUCAUCUGGGGAGGUACUGUAUCAGAGUGAAGGCAGACGCCAGAGACACGGGGAGGUACUGUAUCAGAGUGAAGGCAGACAGAGACACGGGGAGGUACUGUAUCAGAGUGAAGGCAGACAGAGACACGGGGAGGUACUGUAUCAGAGUGAAGGCAGACAGAGACACGGGGAGGUACUGUAUCAGAGUGAAGGCAGACAGAGACACGGGGAGGUUCUGUAUCAGAGUGAAGGCAGACAGAGACACGGGGAGGUUCUGUAUCAGAGUGAAGGCAGACAGAGACACGGGGAGGUUCUGUAUCAGAGUGAAGGCAGACAGAGACACGGGGAGGUUCUGUAUCAGAGUGAAGGCAGACAGAGACACGGGGAGGUACUGUAUCAGAGUGAAGGCAGA